UACAGAGGGUGCAAGCGUUAAUCGGAAUUACUGGGCGUAAAGAGUGCGUAGGUGGUUAGGUAAGUUAGAUGUGAAAUCCCUGGGCUCAACCUAGGAACUGCGUUUAAAACUGCUUAGCUAGAGUACUGUAGAGGAUAGUGGAAUUUCCAGUGUAGCGGUGAAAUGCGUAGAUAUUGGAAGGAACACCAGUGGCGAAGGCGACUAUCUGGGCAGCUACUGACACUGAGGCACGAGAGCAUGGGGAGCAAACAGG
rnacentral:rRNA from 1 species